UCGAGCCGCGUCUCUAUGGCGGCCGCUACAGCCCACAAGGCGCAGAGCGACAUGAACGCGGAUGCUGGCGGCCAAGGCGGCGCUGUGGUCCCUGCGCGGUCUCGAGAGGGCAGUCCCGUGGCGUGUGACUUCGUCCCAUCGGCGCUGGGGACGCGAGAGCAUUGGGAUGCUGUUUAUGAGAGAGAACUGAAGACAUUCCAAGAGUAUGGAGAUACAGGAGAAAUCUGGUUUGGAGAAGAGAGUAUGAACCGACUAAUAAGGUGGAUGCAGAAACAAAAGAUCCCAUUGGAUGCCUCAGUGCUUGAUAUUGGAACUGGAAAUGGUGUUUUCCUGGUUGAACUUGUGAAACAUGGUUUCUCUAAUAUAACUGGGAUUGAUUAUUCUCCUUCGGCAAUUAAGCUUUCUGCAAGCAUUUUAGAGAAAGAAGGGCUAUCUAACAUUAACUUGAAGGUAGAAGACUUUUUGAGUCUUUCCACAAAGCUGUCUGGAUUUCAUGUUUGUGUUGACAAAGGGACUUUCGAUGCCAUAAGUCUUAAUCCUGACAAUGCAGUUGAGAAGAGGAAGCAGUAUGUGAUGUCUCUCUCCAGGGUAUUGGAAGUAAAAGGCUUUUUUCUAAUAACCUCAUGUAAUUGGACCAAGGCAGAGUUGCUAGAUGUGUUCAGUGAAGGAUUUGAAUUUUUUGAAGAGCUGCCAACACCCAAGUUCAGCUUUGGAGGUAGAUCUGGAAACACUGUAGCAGCUUUGGUUUUUCAAAAAAAGUGAGACUUCCUUGGACAAAGUCAGUUAGUUUUCUCAAGGAAUUGUACAGCAAAGUAAACCUGAUACAGAAGAAGCAAGUGCAAAUAGUGCUUACUUUUAGUUUGCCUUACCCAGAGGUCUUCCAUCCAGUGAGUUGCAAGCGUGACAUUUGCUGUGUUUUCAGCACCUGCCAACUUGGAAACCAGGGUUUGUGCUUAGGACAUAGGCUUACAACCCACACUUUGUGGUGCACAAUGCCGUCCCAGCUGGCAUGCUUUCGUACCUCAAUGGUGCUAGACGUUCGGUUACAAAGCUGCACAGCUUCACGUGCAGAUUUCAAUAGUCAUUCCUCUCCAAACUGCUUUCAACUUUUAUUUUGUAUCCCAGGAGUGAGAUUGGUAUCAUUAAAUUCACUGCUGUGGUUAUUUUUCAAUGAAAAUAAAUUUGGCUUAUUCUUGGAUUAAAUACAA